GGCGGUUCUCAGGCAACGCAUCCCAGAAUCGGGCUCCCUCCUCUCUGGUUCCAGGUGCGUCACCUGAGAACCACA
rfam:Myotis davidii contig322924, whole genome shotgun sequence.